UACGUAGGUGGCAAGCGUUGUCCGGAUUUACUGGGCGUAAAGAGCGCGCAGGCGGUCGUUCAAGUCGCGUGUGAAAGCCCCCGGCUCAACUGGGGAGGGUCACGCGAUACUGAUCGACUCGAAGGCAGGAGAGGGUAGUGGAAUUCCCGGUGUAGUGGUGAAAUGCGUAGAUAUCGGGAGGAACACCAGUGGCGAAGGCGACACGCUGGGCCGUACCUGACGCUAAAGCGCGACAGCAUGGGGAGCAAACGGG
rnacentral:rRNA from 1 species